GACGAACGCUGGCGGCGUGCUUAACACAUGCAAGUCGAACGGAAAGGCCCCCACUUUUUUGGUGGGGGUGCUCGAGUGGCGAACGGGUGAGUAACACGUGGGUGAUCUGCCCUGUACUUCGGGAUAAGCUUGGGAAACUGGGUCUAAUACCGGAUAGGACCAUGGUUUAGUGUCUCAUGGUGGAAAAAUUAUUGUUUUGGUGCAGGAUGAGCUCGCGGCCUAUCAGCUUGUUGGUGGGGUAAUGGCCUACCAAGGCGUCGACGGGUAGCCGGCCUGAGAGGGUGGACGGCCACAUUGGGACUGAGAUACGGCCCAGACUCCUACGGGAGGCAGCAGUGGGGAAUAUUGCACAAUGGGCGCAAGCCUGAUGCAGCGACGCCGCGUGGGGGAUGACGGCCUUCGGGUUGUAAACUCCUUUCGUUAGGGACGAAGCCGCACCUUUUUUGGGUGUGGUGGCGGUACCUUUGUUAAGAAGCACCGGCUAACUACGU
rnacentral:rRNA from 1 species